UACGGAGGGUGCAAGCGUUAUCCGGAUUCAUUGGGUUUAAAGGGUGCGUAGGAGGGCAGGUAAGUCAGUGGUGAAAUCUCCGAGCUUAACUUGGAAACUGCCGUUGAUACUAUCUGCCUUGAAUAUUGUGGAGGUGAGCGGAAUAUGUCAUGUAGCGGUGAAAUGCUUAGAUAUGACAUAGAACACCAAUUGCGAAGGCAGCUCGCUACACAUAUAUUGACUCUGAGGCACGAAAGCGUGGGGAGCGAACAGG
rnacentral:rRNA from 1 species